rnacentral:rRNA from 1 species
GAUGAACGCUGGCGGCGUGCCUAAUACAUGCAAGUCGAGCGAACAGACGAGGAGCUUGCUCCUCUGACGUUAGCGGCGGACGGGUGAGUGACACGUGGAUAACCUACCUAUAAGACUGGGAUAACUUCGGGAAACCGGAGCUAAUACCGGAUAAUAUAUUGAACCGCAUGGUUCAAUAGUGAAAGACGGUUUUGCUGUCACUUAUAGAUGGAUCCGCGCCGCAUUAGCUAGUUGGUAAGGUAACGGCUUACCAAGGCAACGAUGCGUAGCCGACCUGAGAGGGUGAUCGGCCACACGGGAACUGAGACACGGUCCAGACUCCUACGGGAGGCAGCAGUAGGGAAUCUUCCGCAAAGGGCGAAAGCCUGACGGAGCAACGCCGCGUGAGUGAUGAAGGUCUUCGGAUCGUAAAACUCUGUUAUUAGGGAAGAACAAAUGUGUAAGUAACUAUGCACGUCUUGACGGUACCUAAUCAGAAAGCCACGGCUAACUACGUG